CAAAGCUGUGCCACCAGCAAGACCGUCCUGGACACCCUGAGUUUUCAGAAGCUGGUUACACAAUCCAGUCUCUGAAAUAGAGUGAAGUGGGGAGCUGUAGCCCUGGCCGGUGUCACCCGGGAUCUACAGGAGAGCACCCUCCCUCAGGUGUGACGCAACCCAGGGCUCAGCCAUUGUGGGCACCCCCAACCCCGGCCUUGCACGUCCUGCAGCCUUUCAUGUCAGAACAAGGCAAAGUCACAAUGCUGUCAGAAAAAUGUAAAAGCCGCACCACUUGUAUGACGCACGUUAGCCCUGUAAAGACAGGCCUCUAGUUA
rnacentral:lncRNA from 12 species